UACGAGGGGGGCAACUGUUGUUCGGAAUCACUGGGCGUAAAGGGAGCGUAGGCGGGUUCUUAAGUUAGGUGUUUAAUCCCGGGGCCCAACCCCGGACCGGCACUUAAAACUGGGAAUCUUGAAUAGUGGAGAGGUCAGUGGAAUUGGGGGUGUAGCGGUGGAAUGCGUAGAGAUCCCCAAGAACACCAGUUGCGAAGGCGGCUGACUGGACACAUAUUGACGCUGAGGCUCGAAAGCAUGGGGAGCAAACAGG
rnacentral:rRNA from 1 species